UACGGGGGGGGCAAGCGUUGUUCGGAAUUACUGGGCGUAAAGGGCUCGUAGGCGGCCAACUAAGUCAGACGUGAAAUCCCUCGGCUUAACCGGGGAACUGCGUCUGAUACUGGAUGGCUUGAAUCCGGGAGAGGGAUGCGGAAUUCCCGGUGUAGUGGUGAAAUGCGUAGAGAUCGGGAGGAACACCCGUGGCGAAGGCGGCCAACUGGGAUACACCUGACGCUGAGGCACGAAAGCGUGGGGAGCAAACAGG
rnacentral:rRNA from 1 species